rnacentral:rRNA from 1 species
UACAUGCAAGUCAACGGUCUUUCUAUGGAAGCUUGCUCCACUGAGAAGAUAGUGGCGAACGGGUGAGUAACACGUGGGUAACCUGCCCAUAAGAGGGGGAGUAACAUCCGGAAACGGGUGCUAAUACCGCAUAGUUUUCUUGAUUGCAUGAUUGAGAAAGGAAAGACGGCCUUUGUGCUGUCGCUUAUGGAUGGACCCGCGGCGUAUUAGUUAGUUGGUGAGGUAACGGCUCACCAAGACGAUGAUACGUAGCCGACCUGAGAGGGUGAUCGGCCACAUUGGGACUGAGACACGGCCCAAACUCCUACGGGAGGCAGCAGUAGGGAAUCUUCCGCAAUGGACGAAAGUCUGACGGAGCAACGCCGCGUGAGUGAAGAAAAGGUUUUCGGAUCGUAAAACUCUGUUGUCAGAGAAGAACAAGUUGGAGAGUAACUGCUCCAGCCUUGACGGUAUCUGACCAGAAAGCCACGGCUAACUACGUGCCAGCAGCCGC